AGCAGCCGCGGUAAUUCCAGCUCCAAUAGCGUAUAUUAAAGUUGUUGCAGUUAAAAAGCUCGUAGUUGAAUUUCGGGGUUAGCAGGUCGGUCGUGCCAUCGGUAUGAACUGGUCUCGCUGAUCCCUCCCUCUUGACGAACUGUGAUGCCAUUAAUUUGGUGUCGCAGGGAAUCAGGACUGUUACUUUGAAAAAAUUAGAGUGUUUAAAGCAGGCUCACGCUUGAAUACAUUAGCAUGGAAUAAUGAAAUAGGACGUUUGAUCCUAUUUUGUUGGCUUCUAGGAUUGACGUAAUGAUUAAUAGGGAUAGUUGGGGGCAUUAGUAUUCAAUUGUCAGAGGUGAAAUUCUUGGAUUUAUUGAAGACUAACUACUGCGAAAGCAUUUGCCAAGGAUGUUUUCAUUAAUCAAGAACGAAAGUUAGGGGAUCGAAGACGAUCAGAUACCGUCGUAGUCUUAACCAUAAACUAUGCCGACUAGGGAUCGGAUGAUGUUAAUUUUUAAUGACUCAUUC
rnacentral:rRNA from 1 species